GAUGAACGCUGGCGGCGUGCCUAAUACAUGCAAGUCGAGCGAACAGAUGAGGAGCUUGCUCCUCUGACGUUAGCGGCGGACGGGUGAGUAACACGUGGAUAACCUACCUAUAAGACUGGGAUAACUUCGGGAAACCGGAGCUAAUACCGCAUAAUAUAUUGAACCGCAUGGUUCAAUAGUGAAAGACGGUUUUGCUGUCACUUAUAGAUGGAUCCGCGCCGCAUUAGCUAGUUGGUAAGGUAACGGCUUACCAAGGCAACGAUGCGUAGCCGACCUGAGAGGGUGAUCGGCCACACUGGAACUGAGACACGGUCCAGACUCCUACGGGAGGCAGCAGUAGGGAAUCUUCCGCAAUGGGCGAAAGCCUGACGGAGCAACACCGCGUGAGUGAUGAAGGUCUUCGGAUCGUAAAACUCUGUUAUUAGGGAAGAACAAAUGUGUAAGUAACUAUGCACGUCUUGACGGUACCUAAUCAGAAAGCCACGGCUAACUACGUG
rnacentral:rRNA from 1 species